CCUGAUAAGAUCCAAGGGCUGCUUUUUGUAUAUACUUCGCGGAUGAGCCCACUCCCUGUACAGAAGAUACCGUUCGCUUGGGCAGCUGAGAUCCUCUGACUUAUGGCUGAAGUUGCACUGCGAAGCAGAAGCAAACAAGGAUGUUACCGGCUAGAGAAGUGUUCUUGAAUUUGAGGAGCUCCUGUCAUCUCAGAACGGAGUCCUUAAAAAACGUCAACACUCUGCAGUAUUGCCAUCGUGACAAGAACCCUGACAGAUGCCUUUUUAAAAGCCUUGUGAUAUUCCAGGACACACUAAGAAAAUGAUAUUUCAGGGGGAAAGAGCCUGUGUUCCAGAAAAUGACUUUCCAGCCAUUUUAAAACCUAUGGUUAGCAUUCCUUAAAGGUGAUCUGCAGAAAAGAAGAGGAACAAGAAAAGUCACAAAGAAAAAGAAAAAGAGUGUGAAAACGCCUAUAGCGAUUUUUUC